UGGGGGAUAUUGGACAAUGGGGGCAACCCUGAUCCAGCGAUGCCGCGUGUGUGAAGAAGGCCUGCGGGUUGUAAAGCACUUUCAGUGGGGAGGAGGGUAAGCAAGUUAAAAGCUAGAGUUACUGGACGUUACCCACAGAAGAAGCACCGGCAAACUCCGUGCCAGCAGCCGCGGUAAUACGGAGGGUGCGAGCGUUAAUCGGAAUUACUGGGCGUAAAGGGUGCGUAGGCGGUUUAGUAAGUUAUUUGUGAAAUACUUGGGCUUAACCUAGGUGCUGCAAAUAAUACUGUUAAGCUAGAGUAUGGUAGAGGGUAGUGGAAUUUCCGGUGUAGCGGUGAAAUGCGUAGAGAUCGGGAGGAACACUGGUGGCGAAGGCGGCUACCUGGACCAAUACUGACGCUGAGGCACGAAAGCGUGGGGAGCAAACAGG
rnacentral:rRNA from 1 species